UACAACACCAUAAAAUGUUUUCAUAGCAGUAAUAAAACAUUUUGAAAAUGUUUUCAAAAAUUAUUUCUGCUGUGUGGCAUGGCCUAUUGCUGUGUUCAGAUUUGUGAGUUGGGGCAUGUUCUAUGAUGUGAUUGCGACUUUCAAACGACCUGGUGCCAAGCUCCAGUUUGCCUAAAUACACCACUGGGCAUAGCUACAAGGGGGUGGGGGUGUGCGCGUUGCUCCGGGCACACACCGGUGGGGGCCCCCCACCAAACUCAGGUUUUGCCCAGGGCUCCAGGGUUUUGCCUAGUUACUCCACAUAAUCGACGCCAAAGUUGGGAUCUUGACCAUUUUAGCUUCCAUUUUGGAAGAUGGUAUUGUAGUCUUGAAGAACUAGAGCUUGGAGGCAGCAGCUGUUGAUGGUGGAGAAACGAGGAGGCCUAAAACUGUCCAUGGCUUGGAGAUGGUUUGUGACUGGUUUUUGAGCGUCACUGACCAAUCCCUGUCUUCACUGCAUAUCAACUUUAACUCCCUCCCUUCUUACUAUUCAAGCCCUGAUCUGUACCCUGAAACUAUUCAUGCUCUGAAAAUGUGUGUCGUAGCACACACAGUCGGGUCCAUUCAUUUUGAACAUUGUAGAGAAAAUCUAGUUCCAGUCACGCCAGUUCAGGCGUGUGAAAUCCGGUACAGGCUGGUACAUUUACUGUUAUAACAGCUAAACAGGGCAUCAGGCUUAUAUUUCCUUGAGCCCUGUAGGGAUAAGCAGGUUGUAGGUACUUUAAAAUAAAAAUAUUUUUUUAUCCUGAACCUUUAAAAUUGCCAGGGAUAACAUUUGGGGGCCAGCACCUCACAAAGGGAGGGUAGUGGUGGUCUUUGAUAGGAUAAAUGUGUUGGUAGUUGAACAAUUGGGCCAAGGGUUACAGAAUGCGUCAGGGCCAUGAUGAUGGUUGUAUGAAUUUCCCUCCCACCCCAAACUGGAAAUGUCCUUCCCCAACUGCUUUAUGUCCUUGGGCAGCAGUACAUUGGUCACAAUAGGGCACCUGUCCUUUUCUCAUUCUGGGACAUAACCUAAAUCCUGCAUGUGCAGCCCAGCAACAAGAUAAAAAUACCACCCUGGCUCAGGAAAACAGCAUCGGGGAGGCUGAAACCCCUUCUGUCCUAUACCACAGUCCUGAUUCAGAUUUGAGUCCUGUUCCAUUUGGCAUGCAAGGGGCGUUGGAAUAACGCCCACCCAACUCAUGCAAAAACCCAUUGUGUAGGGAUGUUGGGUUUGUGUGACUUGUGAAUUUGGCCUAAAUGAUGACAUCCAGAAAUGUCAUACAAUUGAGUGCAGUGCAUGUGAAUUAACACAAACCAGCCUGUUAUCAGUGCAAACCGAUUUUUGCCACAGAGAGAAGCAGCAUCUGGCUCUCCUCCUGACCUGCUUCGAUUGGUGACUGUGUGGAAGGAGAGAAGAGCAUUUUUCAGAGGAGCAUGUAGGAUGUAGCCUAGCAUGACAUUAUUGCACAAAAACAUGAAAGAAAAACUUAUUUGCCUUUUUGAAGUCGGUCAUGGAAGGCUGAAAGCUGAAACUAUAUUACCUUAAAGGAACAAGCAAAGCUGCUGUGUUUUUUGUUCAAACUGUGGUACACCAGAGAGCCCCGGGACACCCAAAGGUGGCCAGAAGGAUGGCAGUUACCUCUUCUUUUCCUCCUCUCUCCCCACUGUAAAAAUCAGAGGUAUGCUGCCUCUGGCUAGGGAUGUUCCACUCUGCUUUUAUAGGCGGCGACUAUCAUCUCAAACGUUAGAACACUUUGAAACUUGCUCAUUUGCACCUCCUGUUAAAAUGAGGCUGGUCUAAACAUUUGUAAAGGGAAGAGCUGUAGUUUGUAAUGUAAGGAUUUCACAGUGUCCCAUUUGCCUUUUUAAUGUUUUAUAUGUUUUAAGAGACCAAAUCAGAUCACUCGAGUCUCGUGGUGGUUUUUAACGUGUCCAAUAAAAAAUGCCAGUACUUUGAAGGAGAGUCGAGUGGCUGCUGUCAUCCUUGAAUCGAACUUUAAACAAAAAUGACAUUCUGUUGGCCUGUGCUGAACAGGUAGGGGCUAUUGCAUUUCAGACCCCAGCCUGAACUAAAGUUCUCCCUCCAAAUGUCAUCUCUCCUCAGUAUUACUAAUAAUUGGCAGGAUGUUAAAAGUGGUACAUUCAGAGGAAACCGACUUUGUCGUGCAGCAGUGCCUGCCUGGUGAAGGCCUCCUCUUGCCAAUUCUGCAGCAGCAGGUUGAGUUCUGGAACAACUGCUGGGUAAGAAUGAAGAAUAUGGCAAAAUGUGUCCUGCGGCCAUUUAGCUGCAAGCUUGUCUCUCUUUGACUUCCAGAGUUACCACCUGAAGCAGCUUUUAUCAGACGUUAUAACAUCCAAUGUUCUUGUGACCGCUCUACUGGCACAGACCGGUUUCCAUUUAGCUUUGUAAUGUAAACACAGCUCAGCAGAACUGCUUUAACAGCUGCAUCAUCCUGUCUACUGUAAUUAUGGUUGUUGUGGUUACACAAGUACUAUGUCGGUGGUGACUGCAUUAAACAUGAAGCGCAAACGAAAAA